CCGACCUUGAGCGGUGUGGUGGUGACGGUCUGGGUCAGGCGCAAACCAUCAGCCACCAAUACCGUUUCCCCGGGUUCAAAUCCCGGCGGUUGGG
rnacentral:tRNA from 1 species